rnacentral:rRNA from 1 species
AACAACUCACCUGCCGAAUGAAUUAGCCCUGAAAAUGGAUGGCGCUGAAGCGGGCAGCCGACACCGCGCCGUUCCGGCGAGACGAUGCCGGGAUGAGUAGGAGGGCGUGGCGGUCAGUGACGCAGGCGAGGGUGCAGACCCCGCUGAAACGGCCGCUAGUGCAGAUCUUGGUGGUAGUAGCAAAUAUUCAAGCGAGAUCCUUGAAGGGCGAAGCGGGGAAGGGUUCCACGCAAACAUUGAUUGGGCGUGGGUGAGUCGUUCCUAAGCCGAGUGGCAAUUGCUAAGUAGCGGCGAAAGGGAAGCGGGUUAAAAUUCUCGCACACGGAUAUGGAGGCGGCGACGCAAGCAGAGGCAAAUACGCUGGCGAGGGCGCUGGGCAGAGUUGUCUUUUCUGUUUGACCGGCAUCGCGCUGUGUGGAAUCCGCUUAUCGGGAGAAACACGCGCGGGGAGGGGCAGAGCGUCAGGUCUUUUCUGGCGUCCGGCUCGCCCUCGACGGCCCUUGAAAAUUUGCCCGCGAAUUUAAAAUUUCAUGCUGUGACGUACCGAUAACCGCAUCAGGUCCCCAAGGUGAACAGCCUCUGCUCAAUAUGAACAAU